CUAAUGUUUUCAUCAACAUGAACUUUUGGUUCAUUUAAUGCCACAGCGUCUCUUUGAUUCAUUCACUCAGAAGACAGGUGAGAUCUUAAAAGGAGCUGAAAUCAAAAGAAGAGACAGGAAGCAGCACAGAGGAGACAGGACGCAGCACUGACGAGCUGAAGGAUCAAAGACGCCCCAGCAGUAAGAGAGAGAGGCCCAGAUACAAAGAAAGAUGUGUGGCGUCAGAGAUUACAUGGAAGAGUAAGCUGAGACCUCGAAGCAAACAGAACACCCGACCACACACUCCGAUUCAAGAGGAGACAGACGAGUUUGGAGACAACGCAAGAGCUGUGGACCAUGUUUUGCAUGAUUAGGCUGCAAGACAAAUCUGAAUAAAUAU